CUCCAUCGACGUCGAAGCCACCUACGGAGAGGCCCCGAAGUUCGCCCUCCUGUGGCCGCCACGAGCCUAUCGCGUCUUCCCUGCUGGCACCAAACCCACCCACGAGUAGCUUCGAAGCUCGCCACGCUCCUAUGCACCCGACUAUAGCAAUCUCGACCGAAGCGAGCCCCCGUGUGCCUGAUCGUGACAAUCCUGGCCGAGGA
rnacentral:lncRNA from 1 species